CUCGGAGACAGGUGCUGCAUGGCUGUCGUCAGCUCGUGUCGUGAGAUGUUGGGUUAAGUCCCGCAACGAGCGCAACCCUUAUCCCCAGUUGCCAUCAGGUAAAGCUGGGAACUCUGGGGAGACUGCCGGUGAUAAACCGGAGGAAGGCGGGGAUGACGUCAAGUCCUCAUGGCCCUUACAUCCCGGGCUACACACGUGCUACAAUGGCAGGUACAGAGGGCUGCGAAGCCGCGAGGUGGAGCGAAUCCCAGAAAACCUGUCUCAGUCCGGAUUGAAGUCUGCAACUCGACUUCAUGAAGGCGGAAUCGCUAGUAACCGCGAAUCAGCAGGUCGCGGUGAAUACGUUCCCGGGCCUU
rnacentral:rRNA from 1 species